AAACAAAUCAGAGACUUGGCUUUUCUUCCCAGGCCUGGCCUUGGCACCCUGGUAGGAAUCUUUGUUGACCACCACCAUCACCACAACGAAGGUACCGAAAGGGGGAAAAGGGGAAGCUGUGGGAUCCUUAAUGUAGAGAAUAGGAAUGACGAUGAAGAAUCCUAUGCCAGCAGGCUUUCUGCAAUUCAUCCUAAUGGCUUGUUUUGGGGUGAGCACAUAGGCCUUCCCUGCAAUCCAACCACAGCAAGGAGAGGAUUUCAGGGACAGGUUUUGCAAUCACAAUCACAAGAAACCUAUCAGUUUGUUGCCUAUAGCUUGUAUCAGGCCAGCAAUUGUCUGCAAAUAUUUUGCUCAUCUCCUUGCAAACACAUUCUUUCUAUCCCAAAUGCACUCAGUCUCUGUAAAGAUCCGUCAUUUCACCACAGAAGACUUGUGUGCUGUGAAAGCACAUGAAAGUAAGCAAUGCAUGGGGGCUCAGUCCUGCAUUUUAGUUUGACCAUGGGUGCAGUUAUUCCCAUAUUCUGAUAUAGACAGGAGAAGGAGUAGCAAAAAGAAUCACAUAAGACCUAUCUGUGCAAGUGGUCUUCCCAACUUUCCAAAAACAAGAACAGUAUCUCAAAAAGUGGCACUUCACAAUACUUAGGGGGAUAUUA
rnacentral:lncRNA from 1 species